AUGUGUGUACCGAAGAAGAAGAAAGGGGGCUUGGGAUUUAGAUACCUUCACAGUUUUAACCUUGCUUUAGCAAAAUAGUGUUGGAGACUAAUCCAGAACCCAGACUCUCUGUGUGCACGUGUUUUGAGCGCAAAAUAUUAUCCCGACAGAAACAUCUUGCAAGUUGUACCAAAGAACGGGUCGUCAUUUACUUGGCAGAGCAUAGUUGCAGGUAUUCAAACUUUCCAGAAGGGGUGCAGUUGGUGUGUAUGUACAGGAGCACAGAUUGAUAUAUGGCCGGAUCCCUGGAUCCCUUCGAGUCCUUCAAGGAAGGUAAUCACCCCUAGAGGUGCAAGGAUGCUCAAAUUUGUGGAAGACCUUAUUGAUCCACACAUUGGACAGUGAGAUGAAGUGCUCAUCAGAGAUGUAUUCUCUCUUGUUGAUGCUCAUAGGAUCCUUCAAAUACCUUUGAAUGUAUGGAUUAUGGAGGAUUGUAUUGCUUGGAACUACAUGCGAUCGGGAACCUUUUCGGUAAGAUCGGCAUAUCACAGGGAGUUCGAGCACCAAUAUGGGCGGCGUCUUACUAGAACGGAUGGACAUGGAAAUAUACAGAUGAAUACGAUAUGGAAGGAAGUGUGGAACCUAAAACUCCCAGGAAAAAUUAAGCACUUUAUUUGGAAGACACUGAAUGGCUCAUUGCCUUGUUUUGGUGUACUGGCUAAUAGGCAUAUUCCAGUAGUGCCGCAAUGUCCUUUUUGUUCUAUUGGGCUGGAAGACAUCUAGCAUCGCUUGUUCACAUGCAAACGGGCGAAGGAAGUCUGGACUGAAUUGGAUUUGCAGGAAAUCAUCUCGGAUGCGGUUGGCUAG
rnacentral:rRNA from 1 species